AAAUCCAAGCUCAGAAUGGAUAAUUCACCUAAGGAAAUACAGAUGGAAAAUGGCGGAGCUGCAAUCUAAACCCAGGUCCAUCUGAUAAUAAAGCCCAGGCUCUCCUCAACCAGAUGCUUCCAGUGAGACGCCGUGCUCCCUCCCUGUGUGGAGGGAGCCUUUCUCUACCUCGAGAAAAUACUGAAUGAAAAGCAAUGGCACCAGAAGUUUCUAGAAGUUACUUAUAUGGCAAGUCCAAGUAUUUGAGAACACAUUUGAGAUUCAAGAAGGAGGCAAAAAGGCUUCUGCCGAGCAGUCAAAAUGACAAAGUUUGUAAACUUCACUUUAUUGGGGUCCCUGCUCAAAGUCUACCUACUGUUAAAAAAAAAAGAAAAGGGAACACGCUAUUAACACUGUUCUGCACACUGUAUUUUUCAGUUAACAACUGGUGAGUAUUCCCUUUUAGCACACAUAGAUCUACCUCAUUCGCUUAAGGACUGUGUAGUGCUGCAUUGUGUGAACGCACCAAAUGGUAUUUAUCCUGCAUUCUCUAUACAGACAUUUUAGACACUUACAAGGGUUGGGGCUCAGAAAGUGAUACUCCAAAGACUGAUGUUUUGACAUGCUGAGAGCCCUCAGAAGCCACCUCCAAAUCAAGGUCCCUCUAACUUCUUAUUCCCCAUACCUGCCCCACUACCAAGCACAGGGAGGGACUGUCUCUGUCUUUGGAAAUUUCCUCAUCUGACUGAGAAAGUGUCUUUCCAAAAGAAAUGCAAUUGUCUUAAACAGCCUCCCUAGAGGUCUCAUCAAAUAACCAAGAAAGAUAAACCACCAGAAGAGAUGAGACUGUGAAUCAUCACCACACCCAGACAGACUUCAUCUAUUCUUCUGAGGGCAGCUCCAAGAGAUUGCCUGGAGGACUUUAUCUGCUUAAUAAGACAACCUUUGUUCCUGUGCAGCUCCGCCCCUCACCUUCCUGUAAUGUCUGCCUCCCACCUCCCCAAUCCACACAUCUCCUCCCUCCUGUAUGAAAAAGGGUGCACAAGCUUCUGUGCCCCAUUGGGUUAUUGGGUAAUCAUUGUCUUGUGAUUCCC